AUGGCGAAGGAAGGCCUGGAGGAAGCCCUCCUGGUCGCGAGCCGCGCGACGGAUGGAGGCGGCGACGAGGGCCUGGGGCUGGGGGUGCGCGACGAGGUGAAGAAGCAGCUGUGGCUGGCCGGGCCGCUCAUCGCCGGCGCGCUGCUGCAGAACCUGAUCCAGAUGAUCUCGGUCAUGUACGUCGGCCACCUCGGCGAGCUCGCCCUCGCCGGCGCCUCCAUGGCCAGCUCCUUCGCCACCGUCACCGGCUUCAGCCUCCUGCUUGGAAUGGCGAGUGCACUGGACACCCUCUGCGGCCAAGCAUACGGAGCCAGGCAAUACCACCUCCUCGGCGUCUACAAGCAGCGGGCGAUGGUGAUCCUCACCCUGGUCAGCAUCCCCCUGGCCGUGGUGUGGUUCUACACUGGCGAGAUCCUGCUCCUGUUCGGGCAGGACCCCGACAUCGCCGCGGAGGCCGGCACCUACGCGCGCUGGAUGAUCCCGGCGAUCUUCGCGUACGGGCUGCUGCAAUGCCAUGUCCGGUUCCUGCAGACGCAGAACAUCGUGCUCCCGGUGAUGGCGAGCGCCGGCGCGGCCGCGGCGUUCCACCUCCUCGUCUGCUGGCUGCUCGUGUACGUCGCCGGGAUGGGCAGCAAGGGCGCCGCGCUCAGCAACGCCGUCUCCUACUGGGUCUACGUGAUCGUGCUGGCUGUGUACGUCAGGGUGUCGGGCUCCUGCAAGGAGACGUGGACGGGGUUCUCCACGGAGGCGUUCCGCGACGUGCUCAGCUUCUUCCGGCUCGCCGUCCCGUCGGCCCUCAUGGUCUGCCUGGAGAUGUGGUCGUUCGAGCUCAUAGUGCUCCUGUCAGGCCUUCUUCCCAAUCCAAAGCUGGAGACUUCGGUGCUGUCCAUCAGCCUCAACACCGCUGCCUUCGUAUGGAUGAUCCCCUUUGGCCUCGGCUCUGCCAUAAGCACCCGUGUCUCAAACGAGCUCGGAGCGGGGCGCCCCGACGCUGCCCGGCUUGCGGUGCGUGUCGUCGUCUUGUUGGCCAUGGCGGAAGGACUGAUCAUGGGGUUGGUGCUGAUCUGCAUCAGAUACGUCUGGGGGCAUGCCUACAGCGACGUGGAGGAGGUUGUGACUUACGUUGCCUGGAUGAUGCUCAUCAUCUCGGUGUCCAACUUCUUCGACGGAAUCCAGUGCGUGCUUUCAGGGGUGGCUAGAGGCUGUGGAUGGCAGAAGAUUGGUGCUUGGAUCAAUCUUGGUGCCUACUAUAUCGUCGGCAUCCCCUCGGCCUACCUCAUAGCCUUUGUCUUGCAAGUCGGCGGGACGGGGCUCUGGUUGGGCAUCAUCUGUGGCCUGAUGGUGCAAGUCCUGUUGCUCAUGACCAUCACGAUAUGCACAGACUGGGAUAGAGAGGCGGAUAAGGCAAAGGACAGGGUAUUCAGUUCUUCUCUCCCAACAGAUUUCGCAACUGAAGACCAUACCUAG
rnacentral:rRNA from 1 species